rnacentral:rRNA from 1 species
CCUACGGGAGGCAGCAGUGGGGAAUCUUGCACAAUGGAGGAAACUCUGAUGCAGCGAUGCCGCGUGAGUGAAGAAGGCCUUUGGGUUGUAAAGCUCUUUUGUAGGGGAAGAUAAUGACUGUACCCUAAGAAUAAGGUCCGGCUAACUUCGUGCCAGCAGCCGCGGUAAUACGAAGGGACCUAGCGUAGUUCGGAAUUACUGGGCGUAAAGCGCGCGUAGGCCGUUGAGUUAGUUAAUUGUGAAAUCCCAAAGCUUAACUUUGGAACUGCAAUUAAAACUGCUCGACUAGAGUUUGAUAGAGGAAAGCGGAAUACAUAGUGUAGAGGUGAAAUUCGUAGAUAUUAUGUAGAACACCAGUUGCGAAGGCGGCUUUCUGGAUCAACACUGACGCUGAGGCGCGAAAGUAUGGGUAGCAAAGAGGAUUAGAUACCCUCGUAGUCCAUACCAUAAACGAUGAUUGCUAGAUGUUGGAAAUUUAUUUUCAGUAUCGCAGCUAACGCAUUAAGCAAUCCGCCUGGGGAUACGACCGCAAGGUUAAAACUCAAAAUGAAUUGACGG